UAGGGAAUCUUCGGCAAUGGACGAAAGUCUGACCGAGCAACGCCGCGUGAGUGAAGAAGGUUUUCGGAUCGUAAAACUCUGUUGUUAGAGAAGAACGAGGACGUUAUUAACUGAACGUCCCCUGACGGUAUCUAACCAGAAAGCCACGGCUAACUACGUGCCAGCAGCCGCGGUAAUACGUAGGUGGCAAGCGUUGUCCGGAUUUAUUGGGCGUAAAGCGAGCGCAGGCGGUUUCUUAAGUCUGAUGUGAAAGCCCCCGGCUCAACCGGGGAGGGUCAUUGGAAACUGGGAGACUUGAGUGCAGAAGAGGAGAGUGGAAUUCCAUGUGUGGCGGUGAAAUGCGUAGAUAUAUGGAGGAACACCAGUGGCGAAGGCGGCUCUCUGGUCUGUAACUGACGCUGAGGCUCGAAAGCGUGGGGAGCAAACAGG
rnacentral:rRNA from 1 species